GACGAACGCUGGCGGCGUGCUUAACACAUGCAAGUCGAACGGAAAGGCCCUGCUUUUGUGGGGUGCUCGAGUGGCGAACGGGUGAGUAACACGUGAGUAACCUGCCCUUGACUUUGGGAUAACUUCAGGAAACCGGGGCUAAUACCGGAUAGGAGCUCCUGCUGCAUGGUGGGGGUUGGAAAGUUUCGGCGGUUGGGGAUGGACUCGCGGCUUAUCAGCUUGUUGGUGGGGUAGUGGCUUACCAAGGCUUUGACGGGUAGCCGGCCUGAGAGGGUGACCGGCCACAUUGGGACUGAGACACGGCCCAGACUCCUACGGGAGGCAGCAGUGGGGAAUAUUGCACAAUGGGCGGAAGCCUGAUGCAGCAACGCCGCGUGCGGGAUGACGGCCUUCGGGUUGUAAACCGCUUUCGCCUGUGACGAAGCGUGAGUGACGGUAAUGGGUAAAGAAGCACCGGCUAACUACGUGCCAGCAGCCGCGGUGAUACGUAGGGUGCGAGCGUUGUCCGGAUUUAUUGGGCGUAAAGGGCUCGUAGGUGGUUGAUCGCGUCGGAAGUGUAAUCUUGGGGCUUAACCCUGAGCGUGCUUUCGAUACGGGUUGACUUGAGGAAGGUAGGGGAGAAUGGAAUUCCUGGUGGAGCGGUGGAAUGCGCAGAUAUCAGGAGGAACACCAGUGGCGAAGGCGGUUCUCUGGGCCUUUCCUGACGCUGAGGAGCGAAAGCGUGGGGAGCGAACAGGCUUAGAUACCCUGGUAGUCCACGCUGUAAACGGUGGGUACUAGGUGUGGGGUCCAUUCCACGGGUUCCGUGCCGUAGCUAGCGCUUUAAGUACCCCGCCUGGGGAGUGCGGCCGCAAGGCUAAAACUCAAAGGAAUUGACGGGGCCCCGCACAAGCGGCGGAGCAUGCGGAUUAAUUCGAUGCAACGCGUAGAACCUUACCUGGGUUUGACAUGGAUCGGGAGUGCUCAGAGAUGGGUGUGCCUCUUUUGGGGUCGGUUCACAGGUGGUGCAUGGCUGUCGUCAGCUCGUGUCGUGAGAUGUUGGGUUAAGUCCCGCAACGAGCGCAACCCUUGUUCACUGUUGCCAGCACGUUAUGGUGGGGACUCAGUGGAGACCGCCGGGGUCAACUCGGAGGAAGGUGGGGAUGACGUCAAGUCAUCAUGCCCCUUAUGUCCAGGGCUUCACGCAUGCUACAAUGGCUGGUACAGAGAGUGGCGAGCCUGUGAGGGUGAGCGAAUCUCGGAAAGCCGGUCUCAGUUCGGAUUGGGGUCUGCAACUCGACCUCAUGAAGUCGGAGUCGCUAGUAAUCGCAGAUCAGCAACGCUGCGGUGAAUACGUUCCCGGGGCU
rnacentral:rRNA from 1 species